CUAAAAUAGUAACACGAGGUGUAUUCCGAAACGAUCAAGGAGCAUGAAAUCAAUCAGCUUAAGCAUGUUCACCACAGAUGCGGCGAGCAAGCUGAAUGUCUUUGGGCAUUAUGGUGACCUCUUGGCAUGGAUGGCACACAAGUUGGUGUCCUCAAACAAACCAACCAAGUAGGCUUCAGCAGCUUCGUGGAAAGCAAGGACAGCAUGGCUCUGGAACCUCAAAUCAGUCAGGGGUUUAAAGAG